AACUUAAACCAAUGGUGAAUGCCCAGCAUACAAUAACAACCAUGGCUGCACCAUCUGGACACUCUCUUGGCCAACGAGACGGCCAUGGCCUACGCUACCUGAAGAUCUAGAAACACAAGAUAUCUACCAAAAGUUACUGAGCAAACUGCGAUCAGCACUGGUGGAGGUGGAAACGUGUGUUGCCCAGAUUGAUGAGAACGUAAAACAGAGAUGCUGAUAACUUCAGAGUGUGAUAAUGAAAAGGGAGAGAAGAAUGGCAAGCGGGUCUGCUUCCAUGUGGCUGGUGAGGAACAAGAAGAUUCAGGGCAUGACACCAUCAGCAACAGAGAUUCCUACAGCGAUUGUAACAGCAAUAGAAACUCCAUUGCUUUGUUUACAAGUAUCUGCAGCAGCCAGUGCAGUUCUUACCUCCAGAGCGACGAAAUGGAUUCUGGUAAGAUCUUUUGCUGCUCAUGUUUUCUACUCAUGAAUGAUUUUAUUUGCUUUCCUUACCCUCCCCAUGCUUCAGACACACUAAUCCCCUUUGCAUGGCUGUGCAUUGAAAAGGCCAAUAACUGCAGUAAUAUAAAUUCCUAACAGUACAGAAAGCCUAAGAAAAUGAUAGUAAAACUAUUUCAUAUACAGAUAUAUUUUGUACUGAAAACCUGGACUACCUGUAUGUAAUGGUAAAGGUAUAUAUUAUAUUUGUGUAAAACUCAGGUUGAUUUGUUUUCCCUCAUAUUCUGGGGUAUCACAAGAUACUGUAUGGAGCACAUGGCAUUAAAGAUCUGCCUCCUUUAUUAGCUUCUUUGGCUAGUGUGACAUGUUGAGUUGUAAGAGUCUUGCAACCACUAGUGCCACCUGAUAAAAUGGGUGCAAAGUUUUGCACGUAUUUGUUAAAGGUACUUGUGCACCAACACUCUCCUUGGAUUUCUGCCUAUCUCCAGUACAUCUACCCAGCUAGGGCAACUAGUGACUGUGGGGAACCCUGGAGCAGGUCUCCUCAGUUUUCUGCAACAGACUUGCGUCAAAUGAAUCGCAUGCUAUUUAAAUUUUUGUCACUUACAUUGGUGCACUGGAAGACACAUUAGUCCCUGCAUACAAUUCAUGAAAGCACUGCGUAUCUUGACAGCGCUAUAUAAAUAAAUGAUGAUGAAAACUCACCACAUGGCAGCAAUGGCACAUGAUUUAAAGGAGACCUAAAGCCUAAAUAAAGAAGUAGACUAGAAAUGUUGUACAUUA